AGCAUCCACGACACCCCGAGAUGGAUAAGACCGCCCCCUCCUCCCCGAAACCCUAGCAUCCCCUUUUUCUUCCCUCUCGCGCCCCUGCCUCUCCUGCUCGACGCCCGUGCAUUGCCGUCACCGCCAUUCAUCGUUGCCGUCCUCUGGGUCAUCCCCGAGCUGCUACAAGGUGGCCACGAGCUUCCCCAACCUCGUCUCCUUCACCUAUGCCUCUGGAUCGAAGCCAAAGGGCCUUGUAUGCUCCACAUCGAGCCGCCAUCCCCACCACAGCCGCCACGGCCGUCGCCGUCGAUCCCCACCUCCGGCACCCCCUCGACCUGUUCGAGCACGGCCCCGACCUCCUCCCAACCCCGUGACGAUGCUGAUGCCGCUGUGAUCGACUACGUCACCGACGACCCCUUCUUCUUGUCUGAGUAACCAGAUGACGGAUCCCAGGAGCCAGACGACACCAUAAUGACUACUGCUACCCCGAGGGUGCGUACUACUACGUGACGGCCGCUGACGACUUGGAGUAGUUAGGAGGCUUCUAGGCAGGAGGCCUUGCCUUUUCGAUCGUUGUUGCUUUUGUGCUAGCCUUAUUAAGGCAAACUUGUUUAACUUAUGUUUGUACUCAGAUAUUGUUGCUUCCGCUGACUCUUAUGUAUUCGAGCUUGUGUACUCGAGCCCUCGAGGCCCC
rnacentral:rRNA from 1 species